rnacentral:rRNA from 1 species
GAUGAACGCUGGCGGCGUGCCUAAUACAUGCAAGUCGAGCGAACGGACGAGAAGCUUGCUUCUCUGAUGUUAGCGGCGGACGGGUGAGUAACACGUGGAUAACCUACCUAUAAGACUGGGAUAACUUCGGGAAACCGGAGCUAAUACCGGAUGAUAUUUUGAACCGCAUGGUUCAAAAGUGAAAGACGGUCUUGCUGUCACUUAUAGAUGGAUCCGCGCUGCAUUAGCUAGUUGGUAAGGUAACGGCUUACCAAGGCAACGAUGCAUAGCCGACCUGAGAGGGUGAUCGGCCGCACUGGAACUGAGACACGGUCCAGACUCCUACGGGAGGCAGCAGUAGGGAAUCUUCCGCAAUAGGCGAAAGCCUGACGGAGCAACGCCGCGUGAGUGAUGAAGGUCGUCGGAUCGUAAAACUCUGUUAUUAGGGAAGAACAUAUGUGUAAGUAACUGUGCACAUCUUGACGGUACCUAAUCAGAAAGCCACGGCUAACUACGUGC